rnacentral:rRNA from 1 species
GAUGAACGCUGGCGGCGUGCCUAAUACAUGCAAGUCGAGCGAACAGAUGAGGAGCUUGCUCCUCUGACGUUAGCGGCGGACGGGUGAGUAACACGUGGAUAACCUACCUAUAAGACUGGGAUAACUUCGGGAAACCGGAGCUAAUACCGGAUAAUAUAUUGAACCGCAUGGUUCAAUAGUGAAAGACGGUUUUGCUGUCACUUAUAGAUGGAUCCGCGCCGCAUUAGCUAGUUGGUAAGGUAACGGCUUACCAAGGCGACGAUGCGUAGCCGACCUGAGAGGGUGAUCGGCCACACUGGAACUGAGACACGGUCCAGACUCCUACGGGAGGCAGCAGUAGGGAAUCUUCCGCAAUGGGCGAAAGCCUGACGGAGCAACGCCGCGUGAGUGAUGAAGGUCUUCGGAUCGUAAAACUCUGUUAUUAGGGAAGAACAAAUGUGUAAGUAACUAUGCACGUCUUGACGGUACCUAAUCAGAAAGCCACGGCUAACUACG